rnacentral:rRNA from 1 species
AUUGAACGCUGGCGGCAUGCCUUACACAUGCAAGUCGAACGGCAGCACGGGAGCUUGCUCCUGGUGGCGAGUGGCGAACGGGUGAGUAAUACAUCGGAACGUACCCUGAAGUGGGGGAUAACGUAGCGAAAGUUACGCUAAUACCGCAUAUUCUGUGAGCAGGAAAGAGGGGGGUCGCAAGACCUCUUGCUUUAGGAGCGGCCGAUGUCGGAUUAGCUAGUUGGUGAGGUAAAGGCUCACCAAGGCGACGAUCCGUAGCUGGUCUGAGAGGAUGAUCAGCCACACCGGAACUGAGACACGGUCCGGACUCCUACGGGAGGCAGCAGUGGGGAAUAUUGGACAAUGGGCGCAAGCCUGAUCCAGCCAUGCCGCGUGAGUGAAGAAGGCCUCGGUUGUAAG